rnacentral:tRNA from 1 species
GGCCCCUUAGCUCAGCUGGAUAGAGCAACUGCCUUCUAAGCAGUAGGUCGCAGGUUCGAGUCCUGCAGGGGUCGCCA